GCUGGGCGUGGUGGCGCAUGCCUGUAGACCCAGCUACUUCGGAAGCUGAGGCAGGAGAAUUGCUUGAACUCAGGAGGCAGAGGUUGCAGUGAGCUGAGACCGUGCCACUGCAUUCCCGCCUGGGUGACAGAGCAAGACUCUGUCUCUC
rnacentral:SRP_RNA from 1 species